rnacentral:rRNA from 1 species
AUUGAACGCUGGCGGCAGGCCUAACACAUGCAAGUCGAGCGGAGCGGCGGACGGGUGAGUAAUGCCUAGGAAUCUGCAUGGUAGUGGGGGACAACGAACGGAAACGGGCGCUAAUACCGCAUACUAUCAACUGAGCCUAGGUCGGAUUAGCUAGUUGGUGGGGUAAAGGCCUAUCAAGGCGACGAUCCGUAACUGGUCUGAGAGGAUGAUCAGUCAAACUGGAACUGAGACACGGUCCAGACUCCUCCGGGAGGCAGCAGUAGGGAAUAUUGCACAAUGGGCGCAAGCCUUAUGCAGCCAUGCCGCGUGUGUGAAGAAGGCCUUCGGGUGGUAAAGCACUUUCAGCGGGGAGGCGUUACCCGCAGAAGAAGCACCGGCUAACUCCGUGCCAGCCGCCGCGGUAAUUC